rnacentral:rRNA from 1 species
ACUACACCCAUGCCUACUAGUGGACAUCUUGAUUUCACCAAAGAUGGUGAACCGGUUGAUCAAAAGGUUUAUCGCUCUAUGAUUGGUUCAUUGUUAUAUCUGUGUGCCUCUCGUCCCGAUAUUAUGCUAAGUGUGUGCAUGUGUGCACGAUAUCAAGCUCCUCCUAAAGAGUGUCAUCUUAAGGCUGUGAAAAGGAUAGUGAGAUACCUAAUCCAUACACCAAAUUUUGGCAUUUGGUAUCCUAAGAGGUCCUUUUUUGAUCUUGUUCGCUACUCCAAUUCAGACUAUGCCGGAGACAAGGUUGAUAGAAAAUCCACUUCGGGUACUUGUCAAUUCCUUGGUAGAUCUCCUGUGUCUUGGUCUUCCAAGAAACAAAACUCGGUAUCCUUAUCCACCGCCGAAGCGGAAUACAUUGCCGCUGGUUCAUGCUGCGCUCAAUUACUUUGGAUGACCCAAACUCUUAAAGAU